GUCUCAUUCAGCAGCGCGCGAGGGCGGGAGGGCACUAACACAGGAAGCACCUCUAGUGACCGUCUGAGUGACUGUCACUAGCAGUGUCACUUUGAAGCAAUGUAAACACUGCCUUUUGUCUGAAAAGUUAGUGUUUACGUUGAAAAGCCUGUAGGGACAUGCUAUAGACACCAGUACCACCACAUUAAGCUGUGUGUGUGCGUCUGCUAGUGAGUGAGCUUGCUUGCAUGCGUGUGCCUGCCAGUGAGUGAGCUUGUGUUUUUAUGUCAAUGAGCUGAUGUAUAUCAGUAAGAUUGUUUGUCUAUGAGGCUGUGUAUCAAUGAGCUUGUGUGUGUCACUGAAAUGUCAGUGAAAUUGCCUGUGUCUGCAUGUGCGUAUGCUUAC